UCCGGUUUGUCACCGGCAGUCUCCUUAGAGUUCCCAGCAUUACCUGAUGGCAACUAAGGACAAGGGUUGCGCUCGUUACGGGACUUAACCCAACAUCUCACGACACGAGCUGACGACAGCCAUGCAGCAUCUGUGGUGCACCCUCGAAGGUCACACGUUUCCGUGCGCUUGCAGCACCAUGUCAAGCCCAGGUAAGGUUCUUCGCGUUGCAUCGAAUUAAGCCACAUGCUCCACUGCUUGUGUGAGCCCCCGUCAAUUCCUUUGAGUUUCAGUCUUGCGACCAUACUCCCUAGGCGGAGAACUUAGCACUUUUACUUCGGCAGUAAGUCUAUGUCAAACCUACUACCUAGUUCUCAACGUUUAGGGCCAGGACUA
rnacentral:misc_RNA from 1 species